rnacentral:rRNA from 1 species
CAGGGUAAUUCCCGAUGAUGUCGCAAGACCAAAGCUCCGGCGUCCCUGGAGGAGCCCAUAUGAUAUUAGCUAGUUGGUGGGGUAACGGCCCACCAAGGCGAAGAUGUCUAGCGGGUGUGAGAGCACGACCCGCGCCACUGGCACUGAGACACUGGCCAGACACCUACGGGUGGCUGCAGUCGAGGAUCUUCGGCAAUGGGCGCAAGCCUGACCGAGCGAGGCCGCGUGGGCGAUGAAGGCCUUCGGGUUGUAAAGCCCUGUCGAGGGGGAGAAAAGCCGAAAGGUGUGAUCUAUCCCUGGAGGAAGCACGGGCUAAGUUCGUGCCAGCAGCCGCGGUAAGACGAACCGUGCGAACGUUGUUCGGAAUCACUGGGCUUAAAGGGCGCGUAGGCGGGCUAUCAAGUCCGGGGUGAAAUCCUCCAGCUUAACUGGAGAACGGCCUCGGAUACUGAUGGUCUCGAGGAGGAUAGGGGCACACGGAACUGUGGGUGGAGCGGUGAAAUGCGUUGAUAUCCAUAGGAACUCCGGUGGCGAAAGCGGUGUGCUGGAUCCUUUCUGACGCUGAGGCGCGAAAGCCAGGGGAGCAAACGGGAUUAGAUACCCCGGUAGUCCUGGCCCUAAACGUUGGGUACUAGGUAGUAGACUAGACAUGGGUUUACUUCCGAAGCAAAAGUGCUAAGUACCCCGCCUGGGGAGUAUGGUCGCAAGGC